UAGAUACAGUGAUGACGGCAUAGUUCAGCAGAAUAUUCUGUGACGAACAAUUUUUUUUCACUCCUAUCUGAUGUAUCUA
ensembl:snoRNA